UACGGAGGGUGCGAGCGUUAACCGGAAUUACUGGGCGUAAAGCGUGCGCAGGCGGCUUGGUAAGUCGGAUGUGAAAGCCCUGGGCUCAACCUGGGAAUUGCAUUCGAUACUGCCAGGCUCGAGUACAAUAGAGGAGGGUGGAAUUCCUGGUGUAGCGGUGAAAUGCGUAGAUAUCAGGAGGAAUACCAGUGGCGAAGGCGGCCCUCUGGAUUGAUACUGACGCUGAGGCACGAAAGCGUGGGGAGCGAACAGG
rnacentral:misc_RNA from 1 species